AACGCGAAGAACCUUACCAUCCCUUGACAUCCAGUGAAUUUUUCAGAGAUGAAUUAGUGCCUUCGGGAACACUGAGACAGGUGCUGCAUGGCUGUCGUCAGCUCGUGUUGUGAGAUGUUGGGUUAAGUCCCGCAACGAGCGCAACCCUUAUCCUUAGUUGCCAGCACGUAAAGGUGGGAACUCUGGGGAGACUGCCGGUGAUAAACCGGAGGAAGGUGGGGACGACGUCAAGUCAUCAUGGCCCCUACGGGAUGGGCUACACACGUGCUACAAUGGCGCAUACAAAGGGCAGCAAGCCAGCGAUGGUUAGCGAAUCUCAUAAAGUGCGUCGUAGUCCGGAUCGGAGUCUGCAACUCGACUCCGUGAAGUCGGAAUCGCUAGUAAUCGUGGAUCAGAAUGCCACGGUGAAUACGUUCCCGGGUCUUGUACACACCG
rnacentral:rRNA from 1 species